rnacentral:lncRNA from 1 species
GCAGCGCGCGCGGAUUGGGCGCGGGUGGGUGCGGGGCCCCGGGCCGGGAGCCCUCCUUCCGUCCCCUCGUAGGCUGCUCGUACUGCCGCCCGCUUACAGAGGGGAAAACCGGGGCGCUCAGCAGACUUCUCCACACUGUUCAAGACCCUGCCCUGGGGAGCCCUCCCUGCUCUGUGGCCACUGCCCAGCCCAGGUCUCACCAUAGCAUCUGGUCCCCAGCAGGCUGAGCCCCCUGAGGCUCGGGGUCAGGUCUGUGCCGACUUUGCAGCCCUGCGACAGUGGAUUCUCAUUAAACGCUUCCUGAGAGCAAAGACAUGAGGGCUGGAACCUGGCUCCCCUGCAUGCAGACUACAUCUGCCAGGUGCGGUGCUAGGAGAGGCAGAUGGUUACGUUUUCACCAGAGCCACCUGCCCACAGAGACCUGGGAUAAUAGAGGCCAAAGGUGGCCCAUCAGCUCAGAAACCUGUAAUUCCGCACAUGCCCAACCAUCCACAGGGACCGGAAGGAGCCGAGCAGACGCCAGCGGAAACCCACAGAUGUUUGCAAUUGACAACAGACCCAUCAGCAGAUGUCCUUAAAGAAUUUGCCGGCACCUGCUGCCUGUUUACCAACGCUCCCUCCGUGAAGUUCACCUUCAGCUCACGGUGACCAUCGCCGCCGCCGCCGCCACUGGGGCCCCAAGUCGGGGAUGCCUAGCUCGGGUGGCCCCUUGCUCUAGCCCCCAAGGACAGUCACUUGACCUCUCUGAGCCAGAGAUGCUGCAUGUGUGAAGGAGAAGUGGUAACGCUCACCUCCUAGGAUGGCGGUGACGAUUCGAAAUGAAAACGUCUAGGGCCCUUGGCGUGGGGUCAGCUCCAGUUACCUAGAUUCCUUCAUCUGCCUGUCUCCCAUCUGGCGCCAAGAUAUCACGUGAUCUCCAUAUGCUGCCUCAAGUUGCCAGGGUGCCUCGACUGUGUCCCUGUCCGCCUCCAGGCCAUCCAUUCCUCAGAAUCAGUCUCUCACUCCAGCUGCGGUUACUCUUGCGAAGAGCCUCCGGGGGGAGUGUCCCUUGUGGCUCAGUGGAUUAAGAACCUAACUGGUAUCCAUCAGGGUGCGGGUUUGAUCCCUGUCCUCGCUUAGUGGGUUAAGAAUCCAGCAUUGCCUGAGGCAAGCUGUGUAAGUCACAGACAUGGCUCGGAUCCCAUGUUGCUGUGGCUGUGGUGUAGACCACCAGCUGUAGUUCUGAUUCAACUCCUAGCCUGGGAACCUCCAUAUGCCGUGGGUGCGGCCCUAAAAAGCAAAAAAACAAAAAAAAGGCCUCCUGGGGGUGGGGGAUCAGGGCAAGCAAGAGGCUGUACCAUGAAUAGAAGGGUUUUAAUGCGGGGACCAGCUACACAGCUGCUGGGAUUGUCAGAGGCCUGGGAACCUGGGGCAGGAGGGUGGCUGCAACCUGGUGCCCUUGACCUGGAG